UGAGUGACCUGCCGAUUUGUGGGGGAUAGCCGGGCCAACGCCCGGGUAAUACCGCAUACGCUCUUCUUGGGGCAUCUCUAGAAGAGGAAACCUCCGGGGCAAAUCGAGGGACUCGCGGCCUAUCAGCUAGUUGGCGAGGUAACGGCUCACCAAGGCUACGACGGGUAGCUGGUCUGAGAGGAUGGCCAGCCACAUUGGGACUGAGAUACGGCCCAGACUCCGUACGGGAGCAGC
rnacentral:rRNA from 1 species